rnacentral:ncRNA from 2 species
CCCAGCAAGGAGCGUUGCGACAGGAUUCCACCCUGCCAGGCUUGCUGCGGCGAGCAGGGCUUCGUCGCGACGAGGUUCCUUGCAACCGCGCUCACGUUAC